rnacentral:lncRNA from 1 species
AAAAAGUACAUUAAGUAUAACACAAAUAUAUAUAGAUCAAACUCAACCAAAAAAAAAAAAAAAACAAUAUGCUACCUUGCAUUUCAAUCUGUUAUGACCUUCUGCACCACAGUUACUGCAGUGAAGGGUUGUGUGGUAUCUAGGAAGCUUGUGAGGAUUGUGGUUUUUCUUUGGUUCAUCAACUACUUUCUUCCUACUCUUUUUUGGCCUUCCUGUCUGCUUAUGAUACAAAGGCACCAGUCAAGUCACCUUGGCACUAGUCACCAC